AUUGAACGCUGGCGGCAGGCCUAACACAUGCAAGUCGAGCGGAUGAAGGGAGCUUGCUCCUGGAUUCAGCGGCGGACGGGUGAGUAAUGCCUAGGAAUCUGCCUGGUAGUGGGGGAUAACGUCCGGAAACGGGCGCUAAUACCGCAUACGUCCUGAGGGAGAAAGUGGGGGAUCUUCGGACCUCACGCUAUCAGAUGAGCCUAGGUCGGAUUAGCUAGUUGGUGGGGUAAAGGCCUACCAAGGCGACGAUCCGUAACUGGUCUGAGAGGAUGAUCAGUCACACUGGAACUGAGACACGGUCCAGACUCCUACGGGAGGCAGCAGUGGGGAAUAUUGGACAAUGGGCGAAAGCCUGAUCCAGCCAUGCCGCAUGUGUGAAGAAGGUCUUCGGAUUGUAAAGCACUUUAAGUUGGGAGGAAGGGCAGUAAGUUAAUACCUUGCUGCUUUGACGUUACCAACAGAAUAAGCACCGGCUAACUUCGUG
rnacentral:rRNA from 1 species